rnacentral:rRNA from 1 species
GACGAACGCUGGCGGCGUGCUUAACACAUGCAAGUCGAACGGUGAAGCGCCUUCCUUUUUGGUGGGUGUGGAUGAGUGGCGAACGGGUGAGUAACACGUGAGUAACCUGCCCCUUUCUUCUGGAUAACCGCAUGAAAGUGUGGCUAAUACGGGAUAUUCUGGGUCUGUCGCAUGAUGGGUCUGGGAAAGAUAUUGUUUCGGUGGGGGAUGGGCUCGCGGCCUAUCAGCUUGUUGGUGGGGUGAUGGCCUACCAAGGCGGUGACGGGUAGCCGGCCUGAGAGGGUGGACGGUCACACUGGGACUGAGACACGGCCCAGACUCCUACGGGAGGCAGCAGUGGGGAAUAUUGCACAAUGGGCGCAAGCCUGAUGCAGCGACGCCGCGUGAGGGAUGGAGGCCUUCGGGUUGUGAACCUCUUUCGCCAGUGAAGCAGGCCUGCCUCGUUUGUGGGUGGGUUGACGGUAGCUGGAUAAGAAGCGCCGGCUAACUACGUG